UACGGGGGGGGCAAGCGUUGUUCGGAAUUACUGGGCGUAAAGGGCUCGUAGGCGGCCAACUAAGUCAGACGUGAAAUCCCUCGGCUUAACCGGGGAACUGCGUCUGAUACUGGAUGGCUUGAGAUUGGGAGAGGGAUGCGGAAUUCCAGGUGUAGCGGUGAAAUGCGCAGAUAUCAGGAGGAACACCGAUGGCGAAGGCAGGUCUCUGGGCCACUACUGACGCUGAGAAGCGAAAGCAUGGGGAGCGAACAGG
rnacentral:rRNA from 1 species